GAAGGCGGGGGCGAGCGUAGUACGGAGUCACUGGGCGUAAAGCGCGCGCAGGCGGCAACCUAAGUGUCGUGUGAAAGCCCCCGGCUCAACCGGGGGAGGCCAUGGCAAACUGGGUCGCUCGAGCUGCGGAGAGGCCCCUCGAAUUGCCGGUGUAGCGGUGAAAUGCGUAGAGAUCGGCAGGAAGACCAAGGGGGAAGCCAGGGGGCUGGCCGCAGGCUGACGCUGAGGCGCGACAGCGUGGGGAGCAAACCGG
rnacentral:rRNA from 1 species